rnacentral:rRNA from 1 species
GACGAACGCUGGCGGCGUGCUUAACACAUGCAAGUCGAACGGAAAGGCCCUGCUUUUGUGGGGUGCUCGAGUGGCGAACGGGUGAGUAACACGUGAGUAACCUGCCCUUGACUUUGGGAUAACUUCAGGAAACUGGGGCUAAUACCGGAUAGGAGCUCCUGCUGCAUGGUGGGGGUUGGAAAGUUUCGGUGGUUGGGGUUGGACUCGCGGCUUAUCAGCUUGUUGGUGGGGUAGUGGCUUACCAAGGCUUUGACGGGUAGCCGGCCUGAGAGGGUGACCGGCCACAUUGGGACUGAGAUACGGCCCAGACUCCUACGGGAGGCAGCAGUGGGGAAUAUUGCACAAUGGGCGGAAGCCUGAUGCAGCAACGCCGCGUGCGGGAUGACGGCCUUCGGGUUGUAAACCGCUUUCGCCUGUGACGAAGCGUGAGUGACGGUAAUGGGUAAAGAAGCACCGGCUAACUACGUG